rnacentral:rRNA from 2 species
AACGCUGGCGGCGUGCCUAAUACAUGCAAGUCGAACGAACUCUGGUAUUGAUUGGUGCUUGCAUCAUGAUUUACAUUUGAGUGAGUGGCGAACUGGUGAGUAACACGUGGGAAACCUGCCCAGAAGCGGGGGAUAACACCUGGAAACAGAUGCUAAUACCGCAUAACAACUUGGACCGCAUGGUCCGAGCUUGAAAGAUGGCUUCGGCUAUCACUUUUGGAUGGUCCCGCGGCGUAUUAGCUAGAUGGUGGGGUAACGGCUCACCAUGGCAAUGAUACGUAGCCGACCUGAGAGGGUAAUCGGCCACAUUGGGACUGAGACACGGCCCAAACUCCUACGGGAGGCAGCAGUAGGGAAUCUUCCACAAUGGACGAAAGUCUGAUGGAGCAACGCCGCGUGAGUGAAGAAGGGUUUCGGCUCGUAAAACUCUGUUGUUAAAGAAGAACAUAUCUGAGAGUAACUGUUCAGGUAUUGACGGUAUUUAACCAGAAAGCCACGGCUAACUACGUGCCAGCAGCCGCGGUAAUACGUAGGUGGCAAGCGUUGUCCGGAUUUAUUGGGCGUAAAGCGAGCGCAGGCGGUUUUUUAAGUCUGAUGUGAAAGCCUUCGGCUCAACCGAAGAAGUGCAUCGGAAACUGGGAAACUUGAGUGCAGAAGAGGACAGUGGAACUCCAUGUGUAGCGGUGAAAUGCGUAGAUAUAUGGAAGAACACCAGUGGCGAAGGCGGCUGUCUGGUCUGUAACUGACGCUGAGGCUCGAAAGUAUGGGUAGCAAACAGGAUUAGAUACCCUGGUAGUCCAUACCGUAAACGAUGAAUGCUAAGUGUUGGAGGGUUUCCGCCCUUCAGUGCUGCAGCUAACGCAUUAAGCAUUCCGCCUGGGGAGUACGGCCGCAAGGCUGAAACUCAAAGGAAUUGACGGGGGCCCGCACAAGCGGUGGAGCAUGUGGUUUAAUUCGAAGCUACGCGAAGAACCUUACCAGGUCUUGACAUACUAUGCAAAUCUAAGAGAUUAGACGUUCCCUUCGGGGACAUGGAUACAGGUGGUGCAUGGUUGUCGUCAGCUCGUGUCGUGAGAUGUUGGGUUAAGUCCCGCAACGAGCGCAACCCUUAUUAUCAGUUGCCAGCAUUAAGUUGGGCACUCUGGUGAGACUGCCGGUGACAAACCGGAGGAAGGUGGGGAUGACGUCAAAUCAUCAUGCCCCUUAUGACCUGGGCUACACACGUGCUACAAUGGAUGGUACAACGAGUUGCGAACUCGCGAGAGUAAGCUAAUCUCUUAAAGCCAUUCUCAGUUCGGAUUGUAGGCUGCAACUCGCCUACAUGAAGUCGGAAUCGCUAGUAAUCGCGGAUCAGCAUGCCGCGGNUGAAAUACGUUCCCGGGCCUUGUACACACCGCCCGUCNACACCAUGAGAGUUUGUAACACCCAAAG